UACAGAGGUCCCGAGCGUUGUUCGGAUUCACUGGGCGUAAAGGGUGCGUAGGUGGCAGGGUAAGUUUGAUGUGAAAUCUCCAAGCUUAACUUGGAAACUGCAUUGAAUACUAUCCUGCUCGAGGGUUGGAGGGGGGACUGGAAUUCUCGGUGUAACAGUGAAAUGCGUAGAUAUCGAGAGGAACACCAGUGGCGAAGGCGAGUCCCUGGACAACACCUGACACUGAGGCACGAAAGCUAGGGGAGCAAACAGG
rnacentral:rRNA from 1 species